ensembl:lncRNA
AGAAACUGCAUUUCAACUUCGAAACGCAACCCUGGUGCAACUCGAAUUGUGAAAGUGAUGUUUAACAAUGCCGUUGCCUGGAAUAAAUUAGUAAAGGAACCAUUGCGCUAUCACCGAACAACAGGAUUGGAUUGGUAAACACAAUUUCCUGCAUUUAGUUGGACAACGACACAUGACACAAAACACGCCUCCCAGGCUGUAAGGGCUAUUUUAUCAAGGAGAGUGAUGGACUGCUUCAUCAGAUGACCUGGCCUCCACAAUUUCCCUACCUAAACCAAAUUGAGAUGGUUUGGGAUUGAGUCGGACCGCAGAGUGAAGGAAAAGCAGCCAAAAAGUGCUCAGCAUAUGUGGGAACUCCUUGAAGAAUGUUGUGAAGCUGGUUGAGAGAAUGCCAAGCGUGUGCAAAGCUGUCAUCAAAGCACCAUUCUCGUGAUUUGGUCCGAGCCCCUGUCUGUCAGGCCCGGUGGACCCCUUCCCCUUGGAAGUGUCUUUCAGCCCAGUGUCAGUCAGAAUGGGAC